UUUGUCUAUGUCAACAACUCUAAAAGACCGGUUCUUAUUGCUAUUAUCCUCUGGACAAAAUUCCCUCUUCUUUCUUUCUGUCUUUUAUUCAAAACAUAGCAGCAUCAAUCAAUGUCAAGAGCUCUUGAAGACCGGUUCCUAGACAAAACUCCAUUUUUUCCAUGAGACCCAGAGGUCUCCCUCAAUUUCUGGCAUUUGAUUGUACUUGGCAGAGAUUGCAAUCUCAAUUGGAAGGUCUAGAUUUUUUUCUUCUUCUGAGGAGUGGGUGCUUAGGAUUUGAUGGACGAUGGGCUCGAGACAGAAAAUGGCUGGUAAUCUUCUUCCCCUUCUAUUCCCGGUUCUCCCUCUUGUUCUUCUUCAUCUUCCUCCCUCCCUCGAGUAGUUAGGGCUAAUUUUUUCUAUUUUUCUGAAAAUUUUCCUAAUAUUUCUAUUUUCUUGGCUAAAAGCAG
rnacentral:lncRNA from 1 species